CGCGCGCACCUAUUUCUACGCUCGACCUCGCCGUGCGCGCGCAAUAUCAUCGUCAAUCACACUAUCAGUCAUACGUUAUCUAUAUUUCUUACACUAUCAAAGUACAUAAAAAAUAAUAACUAAUAAACCAUAUUAUAUAAGUUUAUAAUAAUCUUUUCUUUUCAAGUCAUUUAAAAAUUAAAACCUUCUACAAAUCUUUAUUAACUAUUACACUGUUUUAUCGCUUUAUUUCAGUUUAAAAAUUUAGUACAAAAAAAGAGACGAAACAGUUGGCUAAAAUUGGUUUAUGGGAGGUUUGACGUUUUUUUGAAUAAAAGGAUGAUGAGAUCUCGACAAUGCGAUGCUGGGGUGCAACAACCCUACGUAUUGUAACAUCUAUCGAAACUAUUUAUUCAUGAAUCACAAAGGAGAUCAUUGAAGUGCAAGUUUUCAGAUUUCUUGAUAAGGACGAGAACAAAAUUAAAGAAAAUUUAUGUAUAUUACUUACUGUGCAAGAAUUGGCAAUAUACUUAUUACAUAUUUUGCAAGACAAAUUUCGACUACAUAUAAAAAUAUUGUACCUAUGAAGUAAAAUAUGAAAAUUAAUAAGACUAUACUGGAUCCGGUUGACUCAAUAGAAUGAGUUCAUAUAAAAAGCAAUGGUCAAGAAAGAAUGGUCAAACCCCUGAUUUCAUAUUUUGCUACAUGAUGACCACGACUGUCAGGGACAAAACGAUGUUACUAUCUUUUUAUGCAUUAUAUUUGUAAGAGGGUUGGAUAUUUCCAAGGGAAUUCAAUGGUAUUAACGACGAUACCAUUAACAAUACAGACGUAUCUCCAAGAAAAAACCGGUUCUAACGCUAAAUGGGUCACACGGUUCCAGCUCCCUGAGUUUUUGUUAAACCAUCACGACACCAGCGAUGUGCGAUCCAAGUUAACACUUGCCAAAAACUAAGCAAUGUAUUUUUUUUUAAACAACUUUAACAGUUAUAAUAAUUUUUACUUAUAUCGCUUACACUUAUGUACAUGACAUGCUAAUAAAUUAUAUAUUACAUA